rnacentral:rRNA from 1 species
CAGCAGCCACGGUAAUACAGAGGGUGCAAGCGUUAAUCGGAAUUACUGGGCGUAAAGCGCGCGUAGGUGGUUUGUUAAGUUGGAUGUGAAAUCCCCGGGCUCAACCUGGGAACUGCAUCCAAAACUGGCAAGCUAGAGUAUGGUAGAGGGUGGUGGAAUUUCCUGUGUAGCGGUGAAAUGCGUAGAUAUAGGAAGGAACACCAGUGGCGAAGGCGACCACCUGGACUGAUACUGACACUGAGGUGCGAAAGCGUGGGGAGCAAACAGGAUUAGAGACCCAGUAGUCCCUGUCUCUUAUACA